AGUGCUAUUUUGCUAAUCUAUACUUAUUUUCAUUACUAUUUUUGCUUCGGAUUCCUUAUCGAUUUUCGAUGGGUUCUGACUACCGUGGGAUUGCAGGUAUACGGGUAAACAUCACAUUAGUCACUGGAUCCAUUUAAAAGAUCCGCAAAAUACUGCAGAGGACGAGAGAAAACGACUCUUUAUUAUAAAAAGAAGGUCUCAGGUCCGAUUUAGAUGAUGUUGGCGGCUUAAUCAUCCUGAAAAAAGUUACUGGAAUGAUUUUGUUCCUGGAGAUUGGAACUGAUCAUUCGUCAACCUUGUCCUGUCUUUCUGCUUUUCCAGUGCUGUGGGCUAUUUCAUCCUGAUGAUUUUUCCAUCAAGAAUUAAGACUGUGCAAGCAUAGUUAUCCAAGAGGUUCCUUAAAACGCGUGUUGAAUGCAAGAACUCAAAUUACCGCAACGGAACUUAAGUUUUAAAAUGUAGUCAACGUCCGAGCAGCCAGUGGUCUAUGGCCGUACGAGUUUCGAAAGCAUUCGGACGGCGGUUCCUUCGCGACGGCCGUUAAACUUUGUGUUUCCACAAAGGGAUACAUCAUGCCAACUGUCAACAAAACAGAAGCUUUCGGUUUAUGUUACGGAAACGACAGUGCGUUAGGCAAUGUGCAACGUUGUCGAAAAUUCUACCGGAAACUAAGAACAGCAAACCCACCCAAAAAAGGAUAACGGGACCUGGAAUGACCGGCAAUUGCCUUGUACCAUCUGCCACUGGGUGCAUUAAUGCGCGAGCGUCUCAUUCAUCGUUGUUCCUGCUUAUCAGCGCUUUCAUUAGUUUUGACUGUAUGUUAAAAAUCAUUUUCGGCUGUUUUAGAUCAAGCAACUGGAAAGCACAUUUAACACACUGAUGAACAGUAAAAGUGUGGAACAAUAUGGAAAUGAGUAAUGCUCGUGCCGAUGAGAAGAAACUUAAUCUUCCGAUUUGAAGAAGUUAUUGAUAUCCAACACGGGUGGUCGAAAUAUUCUGAUUAUUAACUUUUAGGCCUACGCCGAGUCAUGAAGGUCAUGUUAAAACGGGGGAUUUCUCAACUCGCAUCAAGAUAAAUACGAAAAAUGUUUUGCUGGAUCCAAUAUCAACGAAUCCAAUAUAUUUAAAGUGGUGGUAUCACAACUUUAUCCGGAACGUCGGGCCCGAACCGCCCUAAACUGGAACCUCCCGCAUGAGAACGAAAAACUGAAAUAUUUGUUACCAAUAGUAAAUGAAGUAAGUUAUAACUAUAGACUGUAGCUAUAUACUUAAGUUUUAGAAAAGUUUACCGAUGAAUGUUAAGGCACAUCAAACUAAUUAUCUUUACAUUGCCUUAUACCACUUAAUUAUAGGGAUAAUUGCUGUGAAUUUCUUCUUCUUUAGCGUUUUUCAAAAACAUUAAAAGUCCUUCCAUUAUAACGUUUGCAGUCAUACUAAAUAUCAAUCAAAGUAUAUAUUUCCAUACUUUUUUUAAAUGGUGAAUAAUUGAAUUUUAAAAUGUAUGUCUUAAUUUUGAUGAACUGGUAUUUUUGCUAAAAAUAAUGAACACAAGUUAAAUAAUUUUCACUCUGUUUUUAAUUAGCUAAUAAUUUCAAUGGUAUAAAAUAUUUUAUCGAAAUCAGUUCUGAUAAUAAAAUUUAAUACUAUUAUAGCGAUAUUUCUUUCACUUAACGCUCAUGCAUUAAAAGACAAAGAAAUAUUUGGGCAGCACAUUCAAAACAUCGCGUCUAAACCAAGCAACCAACAUAUGAUGUCAGAUGAAAAUUUUUAAUUAUUCAUAUUAUAUAAUUUUUGAGGCUAAUUUGUUUUCAAAGAAAUUUA